rnacentral:rRNA from 1 species
AUUGAACGCUGGCGGCAGGCCUAACACAUGCAAGUCGAACGAGUGGCGGACGGGUGAGUAAUGUCUGGGAAACUGCCUGAUGGAGGGGGAUAACUACUGGAAACGGUAGCUAAUACCGCAUACCAUCAGAUGUGCCCAGAUGGGAUUCGCUUGUUGGUGGGGUAACGGCUCACCAAGGCGACGCUCCCUAGCUGGUCUGAGAGGAUGACCAGCCACACGGUAACUGAGACAGGGUCCAGACUCGUACGUGAGUCAGCAGUGGGGAAUAUUGCACAAUGGGCGCAAGCCUGAUGCAGCCAUGCCGCGUGUAUGAAGAAGGCCUUCGGGUUGUAAAGUACUUUCAGCGGGGAGGCGUUACCCGCAGAAGAAGCACCGGCUAACUCCGUGCCAGCCGCCGCGGUAAUUC